GAAGAGAAAAUUAAAAGCAAACGAAGAAAGAAAAGUAGAAGAAUAGUAAGACAUGAACUUUAAACUUGCAAAUUCAAACUUUCAAUCAACUCAUUAAUCCACUUUUGAGGUUCUGAAAAAGUAAUAUUCCACAAUCUACCAAGUUUCUAAAGUUCAAAAUAUUCAAUUUCCUUGACACAUAUUUCAGUAAUCAUUACACAUACACAAACAACAAAGUUACAUUCUAAAUCUUCGUUGUGAACUGU
rnacentral:misc_RNA from 1 species